CGGUCAUGGUCCACGAAGCAAGACGCUACUAAGACUUUAGAGUCCUUGGCAAACGAUAACGUCUGUCCGCUUCUGAGAGUCUUCUUCUGACGUUUCAUUUGAACCUUCGACUGUAACAUCGUUGUGGGCGGUAGAUAGGAGUUUUCUAAGUGAUCGUUUCAUUUUCAAGAGUGCCGUAUUCAAUUUCUCCUUGAUUUAUCGUAGCGAAAUUGGUUAUGUUGUGAAGUAAAAAAAAAAAAAUUAUCACGCGGCUAGACUACAGUUAGCGCUUGAGUUUUCCUUCGACUGUUGUCACUUCGUUGGUCAAGUCAUAAUAAAUCCCGGGCUUCUGCAAGGAUGGUUUUGGUAAGAGUUUGACUUGAGUUCCUGUUCUCACGGUAAAGCUAAAAGCAUGAUAAUGCUACUCUUUAGCAACAGGUUACAGCUUACUGGAGGAACCAGAAUUCAAGAAAGCUCGCAGAAUGGGGCGGAUUCGCAAACCUUUCAGUGUGUGAUAUUUCUAGGGAUCAAGAUGUCGACAAGAUAGAGUAGGCAUCUAUUCAUUUGGAUUUAAAUUUUCUAUGCUGAGCUUCUCAUGAAAAUGCUUAUAGGUUUGAAAGUAACGUUCCUAUGAUAUUCUGCAGUCGUUAACCUACCAUUAGCCUGUGUGUAAUUAAAAGAAAUGUUACCUUUAGUUUUCAGUUCUUGACCACUUCAUCGGUAUCUUUAUAAGGGGAAAACAAAGUAUGUAAAAUCUGAUUUAUCAUCCAUAUAAUUAUAAAUGUUGAAGCUAAAAACUACUUCACAUAGAAAUAUACCAAACGGUUUGAGACUAGAACAACCAUCAAUUGUGCAAACCUAGAGCGACCGAGCGGUCAAAAUGACUACACAUGUAUUGGCAUUGUAAUAGCCUAUAUUUUAGCUUAUUAAAGCAUCCUGAUACAUUGGUGUGUAGUUA